UACGUAGGGGGCUAGCGUUGUCCGGAAUUAUUGGGCGUAAAGAGCGUGUAGGCGGUCCGGUAAGUCGGCUGUGAAAGUCCAGGGCUCAACCCUGGGAUGCCGGUCGAUACUGCCGGACUAGAGUUCGGAAGAGGCGAGUGGAAUUCCCGGUGUAGCGGUGAAAUGCGCAGAUAUCGGGAGGAACACCUAUGGCGAAGGCAGCUCGCUGGGACGUUACUGACGCUGAGACGCGAAAGCGUGGGGAGCUAACAGG
rnacentral:rRNA from 1 species